rnacentral:rRNA from 1 species
CCUACGGGAGGCAGCAGUGGGGGAUAUUGGACAAUGGGGGGAACCCUGAUCCAGCGACGCCGCGUGAGUGAAGAAGUAUUUCGGUAUGUAAAGCUCUGUCAGCAGGGAAGAAAGAAAUGACGGUACCUGACCAAGAAGCCCCGGCUAACUACGUGCCAGCAGCCGCGGUAAUACGUAGGGGGCAAGCGUUAUCCGGAAUUACUGGGUGUAAAGGGAGCGUAGACGGUUAAGUAAGUCUGGAGUGAAAGGCCGGGGCCCAACCCCGGGACUGCUCUGGAAACUAUUGAACUUGAGUGCAGGAGAGGUAAGCGGAAUUCCUAGUGUAGCGGUGAAAUGCGUAGAUAUUAGGAGGAACACCAGUGGCGAAGGCGGCUUACUGGACUGUAACUGACGUUGAGGCUCGAAAGCGUGGGGAGCAAACAGGAUUAGAUACCCCAGUAGUC